rnacentral:lncRNA from 1 species
UUUUUUCUUAGUGAUUUGAAAGGAGGGCGCCUGGGUAUGUUAUAGAAAGGGAAGGCGGAAGCAUCGAAUGGCGAAGAGAGGCGGCUCGGUAGGGAAGGAAUGGGAAAUCGUCAAGGAUGACUUCUUUGUUGGAAGAACGAAGGGCUAAAUAGUGAGAGUGAUUCUCUGAGCCGGUCUGUAUUUCUAACGCCUCGGGAAACUGGUCGAGAUAGAUGACAGCACCUUUUUCCCCUCUUCCUUACCGGUAGGGCAAUCUUCCCUUAUGGCCUUCACCCCCCGCCCAGAAAUAGAGAACCAAGCCCCUUUCUGAUCCAUUCAUUUCUGCAAGCAGGGAGGAUCCAGAGCGUUGCCCCCUCCUAUUCGAGGGUUUUCCUCUCCCCACAAUCACCCAACCAUCCUUUUGCUCUUCCUUCGGUUUGCCUCCACGAACGCGCCACUUAGGAGCCCUACUCCUAUUCCAAAGGCGCUACUUCAAUUCAAGCACAAGCCCCCCCCCUCCCCCUUCUAUUUCAUAACUUAAAAAAGCUAUAAACAAAGUACCAAAGUGGUUACGGGAACGAUACGCUUUGGUUACCGGCGAAGGCUUCCAAAGGCGACCAGCUUUCCAUACUAGUUGUUACCUUACGCUGCCAUUUUCCCAAUAUUAUUGAAUAGCAUGGCCUGGGGCUAAGAUAACUCAAGUGGGAGAGCCGUGUUAUGGGUGACCUUAUUGCACUGUUCAGAGAGCACUUGUGUAUAUGAUGCAAGUGAACGUCUAUGAAAAAUCUAUCGUAAAGUUUCAUUCUUCGUUCCGUCGUCGACCCUAUCUAUGUUUCUAUGAUGGCCCAAGAACACGCUCAUUCUUUAGCCGUAGAGAUACUUUUGAAUUGCGAGGUACCAUUACGAGCUCAAUAUAUACGAGUGUUAUUCCGUGAAAUAACUCGAAUUUCAAAUCAUUCACUUGCUUUAACUAGUCAUGCUAUGGAUGUAGGAGUAUCAACUCCGUUCCUGUGGGCUUUUGAGGAGCGGGAGAAAUUGUUGGAAUUCUAUGAAAGAGUCUCGGGAGCUAGGAUGCAUGCCAGUUUCAUACGACCAGGUGGAGUGGCACAAGAUCUGCCUAUUGGCUUAUGUAUAGAUAUUGAUUCAUUCACACAACAAUUUGCUUCUCGUAUCGACGAAUUAGAAGAGAUGUCAAUCGGCAACCGUAUCUGGAAACAACGAUUAGUGGAUAUUGGUAUUGUCACUGCACAGCAAGCAAAGGAUUGGGGAUUCAGUGGUGUAAUGUUAAGAGGUUCUGGGUUUGCUGGGAUUUGCAAAAAGCAGCACCUUACGAUGUUCAUAACCAAUUGGAUCCUGACAUACCAGUAGGUACCAGAGGAGAUCGCUAUGAACGUUACUGUAUUCGUAUCGAAGAGAUGCGACAAAGUGUUCGGAUCAUUGUACAAUGUCUUAAUCAAAUGCCUAGUGGCAUGAUCAAAGCCGAUGAUCGUAAGCUAUGUCCUCCAUCACGAUCUCGAAUGAAACUAUCCAUGGAAUCGUACGCCGUGUGAAACGUAUAUCAUCGCCGUUCUUAAUCGAGACUCAAGUUAAGCUCCGUCUCGGAACCUUGUGGGGUUAGGAGUAAAGCAUCCCGAGGUUGGCGCAUCUCGUUGAGCGUGGAGAAGCAUUGGGAAUCUAGAACCUCAAUUAGCAGAUUCAUUGGAAACCUUUCUUGGAAGACUCAAUUCAUUAGAUAAGCCUAGUACAUAAUCACUGAUAGGAUCAUUCCUGAAAUUAACAAAUCAUUAAUGGGCACUUUGAAGCAAGUUGAUCCUAGAAGACUAACCUCGUAGCUCACUUAGAUCAAUCAGUUCAAGCAUUCACAAACCUGCCUUCCUUUUAUGUUCAGGACGGAGACUCUUUCUGCCUUUGUCGAACUGCCUUGACGCCUUGGCAGGCUUUGACCUGCUUUCCGUCGCUUACCGGAGAGCGGAUUCUUUAUUACUGACUUUUCGCGGUUGAUCGAGUUCUCAUACCCUAUACUGCUUUGUGGAAACCUAAAAUAGAAGAAAGUCUCUUUAUAAUGACUCUGUCCUAGCUAGACCGAGUCACAAGUACUUAUUAUAGAAGAUUCAGGCACACUUCCCUAUACUUCUCCUAAGUGACAUCAAAAUACUCUUUCAGCCGAUUCGAAACCAGCAAUAUAUGAGAUUGAAUCAGACAGAAGGUUCACCCCUCACCCUGGGGGAUUGGGGAGUUGAGACUUCCUUGCUCUUAGGCCUGUUGUAAGGCCAAUAAGAUCAAGAAGAAGGAGAUUGGAUUCUUCCUUUUAUCCGGACUGACUCUAAUCGUGAUUUUGACUCUAUUAUGAUACCUCCCUCUGUCGCAAUAGAAAUCGAGAAUGGAGAUGACUUCGCUACACUUGUUUAUAGUUGGAAAUUCCAACUCGAAGGCCCUAGUACUACUAACUUUGCACCAGAAACAAUUGAAGCCUUUUUUCGGCAUCCCUUCUCAGACGUCUUAUUCCUUGCCUUAGUAAUGUGCAAUCAGCUACUUGGCACCUUCCCUUAUUCUCCUUCCUUUCCUUUUAGAUCUGAGGUAGUACUAAUUAAUGCUUGAAUUGCUCCUAUUAGAAAUAGGGCUACUCUUGAGUACGAAAGAAGGAUAUUCCGAGCCUGGGCACAUCCCUUUGAUAGCUUUGUUUAGCCUCCUUUACUAUGUCAAUACCUCCGUAUUGGUUAUGGCUGAAGCCGAUCCUCUCCUUGGUACUUCACCUAGUGGCUAAUCUCAAGUCUCUUCUCUCGACCGGAUGGGCCUAUGUCACUAGAACAGGUGAGGAAGACCUCCAAUCACUGUACUGGCAAUUCAAGAUGAACUCCUUCCAUGCCAACAAUAAUAGUACUAAACUUUCAAAAGAAGAGAGAUGAGAUCAAGCUUUGAAGUUGGUAGCUGAAAGAAAGUUGUUCGUUAAGGUCAGACCAGAGCAUAAGGAAGGAAUCUCACUUAGAAGCGAAUUCCGACUACUAUUUUAGAGUACCGAAGCUCAAUGGCAUUGAUCACACCUACGACCAGAAGAAAGAAAAUACCUAGCGCCCCGGUCCCUCCAUUUACUGACUAGCUUAGAGGGCAUUCCGCACAAUGACCAGUGCAAUUCGCGCAUCUAUCGGUAGAGGGUUCAGAUAAAGUAAGUAGCUCACAAAGAGGGAGUUCUCUGGCUGGUACCAAUAGAUAGAGCUACUAGUAAGAUAAGCAAAGCCGGUUGAGAGUGGAAGGAGUUAACCUCUCAGCCUCAAGGUGAAAAAAUAUAGGUUGGAUAACACCAUUUGUUAUAAUCUCUAUAGCGACCAAAUCAAUAGAAAAUAUAAGCACCAACAAAAUGAAUCAUUCCACUUUACCCGAACUCUUUUUUCCCACAUCGGCAACAGCCUGAUUUGACCCCAUAAGCGGGACCAAGCAUGUUGCAGCGAGAAGCAGAACCCUAUAUUUCUUCUAGAGAAUCUCGUAAUUAUUCCAGAGUAACUAGAAAGAGAUUCUUUAACCAGAAAGAAUUCGGUCCAGAUGUAGGAUACCUAUCCAGAAGUUUUCGCAACUCAAUUAUAAAUGAUGGAAUCAUCAAAGAUUUGACCUUUUCGAACUCUGUCUGUAACUCACUAGAGGCCCGGGAAACAAAUAGAAGAUGUGUACGAACGAGAUAUCCAACAACAAGAAGAAGGAAAAGGAUUGAAUAGAGGAACUCCCGAGCAUUUGGCAAUCUUAGAUGUGUCGAUAUCAAUGGUGACUCAUUAUUUCGAUGAAUCAUUUCUUCGGACAGAAGAAGAUUAUGUAAACACUUACUCGAGAUCUCACUUAUCAGAUUCCAUUGUGGAAGACACAAUUUUUUCUUAAGAAUUCGUCAUGAUAUACCUAAUCCAUGCAUAAUAUCAUGAAAAAUGGGUACAAAUUUUUGACUGCUACUUAAUAUUGGCAAUAGGUCUGAAAAAGUAUCUAAAAAUAUCAAAUUUAGAUAUUUGUACCCUGUCGAAGUAAGGAACCAUGGCAUAUAUGUUUGGAAUAGAUUCCAUUUUGAGAGAGUUGAAAAAGCACUAUCUCGUUGAAAGGUUCUAUACAUUUGUCCUUGUCCUUGGUUCUAUCAGCUAUCGAGAGGGCCUACUAAUAAUAGAUUACAUGAGGUUCCACUUCGAAUUAAGCAUAUACAUCACAUAUCCUGGAUCAAGUAAAAGCACCCCUUUCUUGCUACCUAUUCCUAGAUCACGGAUCCAUUUAUCAAGGGGGUGUGCUGUCCCUAUUGGGCUGGGCCCUUCCCCAUAAGGUCCCUCCGUUGGGGCAUAAGCGCCAUCUUGCUACCCAUAUGCGAGGCGCCGUCUUAGCCUUCCCUGACCAGGAUCGCUCCCACACCUGUAGCGUUCGUGAUCGGCCUCCUCAACUGUGUAUCGAUCGAAAUGCAGGGCGGCACAACCCCCAACCAAGGGAGUGGUUACGUUCAAUAUGUCCCCCCUUAUUCCCGACAUGCUAUGGUACCCCGGAGUGGGUAGGAGCGGGUCAAGUCCGUAUCACCGCGGAGCAACAGCCGCGUCCGGAUCUAAUAUAUUUACUCAUCAAUUCAUUUGGUGACUUCACGGUCGCCAAAGAAGCCCCACGAAGCAUCAAACAUUUCCGAUGAGAUCCAUGGAGCAAUUCUUAGAUAGCAAGCACUAGCUCCCGGUGCGACUUCAUAAAAAGCAAUCAAAUUGAAGAUCGAAGAGAAUGAAACGUACGUAGUGGUUAUUAUAGCGGUUCCUUCUUUUCCUAGAAAACGUCCGAAAUAACCUGCUACAAAACUACCGAGCAGGGGUAAAAAUACCAUAAGUAGAUACAUGAUUUUAAGUGUGAUCAGACAACCAAAAAUCAGACAAUGACAGAGCGGCCUAUGAUUGAGUGAUAGAUUGAUCGACAACGGAACGAAGAACAAAAAUUUACGACAUCUUUUUCGUAAACAUUCACUUGCAUCACAUCAUCUUCAACCAACCUCCACCCGAGAAGCCCAUGGGAUCCGCUCUACAGAUACCAUCAAAUCCCAGUUUCUGAGAUACCACAUCAGCCCUAUCACCACUAAUACUAGGUUAUCAGGGGACGCUAGGCAUCGGAAUUCAAAAAGUUCUCUUUUUUUUGUCAGUGGAUUUCGCUCAUCAAGUUCUUCUUUGAUCUACCGCUGUUAGAACACCACAAUAUUCGUCUUUUUGGGGUUAAUGUUCUCAAUGGUGAAUCGAUCAUUCGAUAUCCUUUUCCUUCUGCAACAGAAUGGAAGAAAAGUAAUGAAACCUGCGAUGACUACUGAAUAACCUCCUUUUACUUUCUCAAUAAUAAAGCUUUUGACCUUUGUAUUCGUUCGCCAAAUCUUGUUCAGUUCCAUCCAAGCUCGGUUUUGUCUGAAUCUUCGUGGAAGAAGAAGAAGCGGUUCACCAGCCACUACAUCUGUAGAUCCCACCAAAUCAUUAAACCUGACGGCUGCUCGCUCUUUGAUCAGUGAUUCACCUGCCACUAGAUCGAUGAAGAAUCUCUCUAAAAUCUUCUCUUUGAUCAGUGAUUCACCGGCCACUAGAUCCAGGAAUCCUACCUUAUUCUCAAACCUGGUGGCUCGGUUGUUUGGCACUCUUGUAGGCUCAUCUUGCAUACAAAUUCUGGGGGUCCCAAGUCCUGCAUCCACCAAGAACAUUUCUAAGGCGUUUCCACGAUUAAAUAAUAUUUCAUUCUGGUUGUUGCCUCCAAGUCUCUUGCUCCUGUUAACCUCAACCUUAGUAGAAGUGGGUAGUGGCACUGGGUGGACGGUCUAUCCGCCCUUAAGUGGUAUUACCAGCCAUUCUGGAGGAGCAGUUGAUUUAGAAAUUUCUAGUCUUCAUAUAUCUAGUGUUUCAUCCAUUUUAGGUUCUAUUAAUUUUAUAACAACUAUCUUCAACAUGCGUGGACCUGGAAUUACUAUGCAUAGAUCACCUCUAUUUGUGUGGUCCGUUCUAGUGACAACAUUCCCACUUUUAUUAUCACUUCCGGUACUGGCAGGGGCAAUUACCAUGUUAUUAACUGAUCGAAACUUUAAUACAACCUUUUCUGAUCCCGCUGGAGGGGGAGACCCCAUAUUAUACCGGCAUCUCUUUUGGUUCUUCGGUCAUCCAGAGGUGUAUAUUCCCAUUCUGCCUGGAUCCAGUAUCAUAAGUCAUAUCAUUUCUACUUUUUCGGGAAAACCGGUUUUCGGGUAUCUAGGCAUGGUUUAUGCCAUGAUCAAUAUAGGUGUUCUUGGAUUUCUUGUUUGGGCUCAUCAUAUGUUUACUGUGGGCUUAGACGUUGAUACUCGUGCCUACUUCAGCGCAGCUACCAUGAUCAUAGCUGUCCCCACUAGAAUCAAAAUCUUUAGUUGGAUCACUACCAUGUGGGGGGGUUCGAUACAAUACAAAACACCCAUGUUAUUUGCUGUAGGUUUCAUCUUUUUGUUCACCAUAGGAGGACUCACUGGAAUAGUUCUAGCUAAUUCUGGGCUAGACAUUGCUCUACAUGAUACUUAUUAUGUGGUUGCAAAUUCCCAUUAUGUACUUUCUAUGGGAGCCGUUUUUGCUUUAUUUGCAGGAUUUCACUAUUGGGUAGGUAAAAUCUUUGGUCGGACAUACCCUGAAACUUUAGGUCAAAUCCAUUUUUGGAUCACUUUUUCGGGGUUAAUAUGACCUUCUUUCCUAUGCAUUUCUUAGGGCUUUUGAGUAUGCCACAUCGCAUUCCAUAUUAUCCAGAUGCUUACGCUGGAUGGAAUGCCCUUAGCAGUUUUGGCUCUUAUAUAUCCGUAGUUGGGAUUUGUCAUUUCUUUGUGGUCGUAACAAUAACUUCACGCAGUGGAAAGAACAAAAGAUGUGCUCCAAGUCCUUGGGUUGUUGAACUGAAUCCAACCACAUCGGAAUGGAUGGUACAAAGUCCUCCAGCUUUUCAUACUUUUGGAGACCUUCCAGCUAUCAAGGAGACGAAAAGCUAUGUGAAGUAAAAGAAGAAAAGGUCGCCGAUUGCUACUAAGAACCUAACAGAACUUUUUAAAAUGUGGGUUAAAAAACCACUUGUGUAGGUCGGGGUUGAGAAUUGGGAGGUCGCGCCCUACCCCGUCGGCCUAAGCCUCGCUAUGAGAACUGACGCUUUCUAACUCUCUAUGAGGAGUGAAAGCCACUACAUUGUAAGGAGAGGAGCUCCGACCCUACUUCAAUUAAAGCUCGCCGCCCCUUUUUUCCCUCUAAAGCCCCUCGCUCCACUCAUUUUUUAACUUCUAAUCAGACCUGGCUGAACUUUCCACUUAAUAGAUCAAAGGGUCAUUCGUUAGCCCUACUAGUCAAAUACAGGAAAAAGAGGGAUGGAUUUCGACCUUGCUUUUUUAGGUCUCAGGCUAGCUUUUGACUUAUAUGGCGCUUAGGCUUAGCUCAUCAAACAAGUGCGCCAAAAGUGGGGGAUGGUAUCAUAUUCUCUUAUAAGAGAGGCACGGCUGCUUUUAGCUCGAAGUUUCACCGUGAUCUAGGCAUAGGUAGCAAUCCAUUCUAGAAUUCUUCUCAUUACCUCUCAUGGGAAAAAGAUCCCACUAAGAAAAGAAUUAUAUAGUACGAAAUAACAUAAAAACUUCUUUUUUUAAAGAAAAAAACAAAAGAUAUGAAUCCUCUAUUCCAAUUGUUCCUUUUUGAUAGGAAUCGAUAAGAAAUAAGAAAUAUUUCAAGGCGAUUCGAUUUCAUACUAAUGUAGUAGUAUAGGAACUAUUCCGAUUUCGGUGAAGUUACAAAUUCGAAGAACUCGAGAAAUUUUGAUUGAAUCAUGAUACAAAUUACAAAGAAGAAAAAAGACCGAAAAAUCAUUCUAUGAUGAAAAUAGAAUAACUGCCAAUUUUGUGUACAUAACCGGUAUACACUAUAAUCUAAUUGUUUUUUAUAAAUUUCUAUUCUAAUAGAGGGGUAGGUGUUUGUUGUUGAGAACUCCAAAACCGAAAAGUAAUUUGAAUAUUUUUCUGGUAUGGAAUCAUAGUCUAUAUAAUUAGAAUUAUGAUUUAAGAGUAUCCAUUAACUAUAGUCUAAAAGAUAUAGACCAUCAAUCAGUUGAUUCGUUCUAAUUCAUUGAAUUAAUCCGUUAUAAAAGUAUCAGAAAAAGAAGGGAACGUUGUUUUUGCAAACAUGAAUCGAUUUUUUUUUU